rnacentral:rRNA from 1 species
UAGGGAAUCUUCCACAAUGGACGCAAGUCUGAUGGAGCAACGCCGCGUGAGUGAAGAAGGUUUUCGGAUCGUAAAGCUCUGUUGUUGGUGAAGAAGGAUAGAGGCAGUAACUGGUCUUUAUUUGACGGUAAUCAACCAGAAAGUCACGGCUAACUACGUGCCAGCAGCCGCGGUAAUACGUAGGUGGCAAGCGUUGUCCGGAUUUAUUGGGCGUAAAGCGAGCGCAGGCGGAAUGAUAAGUCUGAUGUGAAGGCCCACGGCUCAACCGUGGAACUGCAUCGGAAACUGUCAUUCUUGAGUGCAGAAGAGGAGAGUGGAAUUCCAUGUGUAGCGGUGGAAUGCGUAGAUAUAUGGAAGAACACCAGUGGCGAAGGCGGCUCUCUGGUCUGCAACUGACGCUGAGGCUCGAAAGCAUGGGUAGCGAACAGG